CUAGCAGACAUUAGGUAUACUAGGGCUUAUAGCUGUUAACAAGGAAAUUUCAACAGAAGGAAAGGAUUUUCUUUCUGGAAUUCGCUGGCUGCGUUGGAAGCUAGCAGCAUGAGUUUUAGAGCUCCAGAUACCGUUGCGGGAGAUAGAGCUAGUGGCUGACGAGUUUGUUCGAGCUGACCCUAUUGCUGAGGUGAGCCACCGCAUUGUUCGUGGAGGCUUUCGUUUCAGACUUACCUAGCUCUCGUGUUAGUUAUUUCCUUUUUCUUUGGGGUUUGCAUGCCCGUCAAUAAAACUCAUAUUACUCUGUUAGAUGCUCCAUGGUCUUACUGUGGGAUUUGGGCUAGAUUUAUUAUUUGACUGAUUGUUGAUUUUUCUAUCAAUUGACUAAGGUAUUGGGCGAUAA